rnacentral:rRNA from 1 species
GGGUGAAAUCUAGUGUUGUUAGGUAGUGUUAGGUUAAAUAUUAAAGUUUUUGAGGCCAUUAAAAUUAUGAAAUAAAACAGGAUUAGAUACCCUGUUAUACAUAAUAUAAAUUUUAAAUCUCUAGAGUAGUAAACAGUUAUAAUCUUGAAACUUAAAGGAUUUGGCGGUAUUUUAGUCUUGUUAGAGGAACCUGUUCUGUAAACGAUAAACCACGAAAUAUCUUACUUUUUUUUGUAUUCUCAGUUUGUAUACCGUCAUUAUUAGAUAAUUUUUACAAGAAUUUAUUAAAAUAUUUUAUAGUUAAUAUAUUAGAUCAAGGUGCAGCUAAUAGAAAAGUAGUUAAUGGGUUACAAUGAUAUAAGUGUACAUGGAUGGUAUAUGUAAAAUUUGCCUGAAGGUGGAUUUAAUAGUAAUAUUUGUUUAAUAAGCAAAUUUGAUAGAAGCUCUAAGAUAUGUA